rnacentral:rRNA from 1 species
AUAUUGGGCGUAAGCGCGCGCAGGCGGUUUCUUAAGUCUGAUGUGAAAUCCCCUUUCUCAACCGCGAGCGGCCAUUGGAAACUGGGGAACUUGAUGUGCAGGAGAGGGGAGCGGAAUUCCACGUGUAGCGGUGAUAUGCGUAAAGUAUGUGGAGGAACACCAGUGGCGAAGGCGGUUCUCUGGCCUGUAACUGACGCUGAGGCGCGAAAGCGUGGGGAGCAAACA